AUGGCCACACCUCAUUGAAACACUGAUUCCCAUACAAUCACUGAGGUUAAGAAACAUCGAGCUUGGUCAGUACCUAAAUGGGUGACUGCAUGGGAACACUAGAUGCUGUUA